AGUGAACGCUGGCGGUAGGCCUAACACAUGCAAGUCGAACGGCAGCACAGUAAGAGCUUGCUCUUACGGGUGGCGAGUGGCGGACGGGUGAGGAAUACAUCGGAAUCUACUUUUUCGUGGGGGAUAACGUAGGGAAACUUACGCUAAUACCGCAUACGACCUACGGGUGAAAGCAGGGGAUCUUCGGACCUUGCGCGAUUGAAUGAGCCGAUGUCGGAUUAGCUAGUUGGCGGGGUAAAGGCCCACCAAGGCGACGAUCCGUAGCUGGUCUGAGAGGAUGAUCGGCCGCAGGGAAAAGGGGACAGGGACCAAACCCCUGGGGGGGGCAGCGGGGGGAAAAAUUGGGAAAGGGGCGGAAGCCAGAACCGGACAAGCGGAGGGAGGAAAAAAGGCCUUCGGGUUGUAAGGGCUUUUUGUUGGAAAGGAAAAACGGCAGGUUAAUCCCCCGCUUUUUGACCGGACCCCAAGAAAAAGGCACGGCUAACUUUGGG
rnacentral:rRNA from 1 species